rnacentral:rRNA from 1 species
CGGACGGGUGAGUAAUGUCUGGGAAACUGCCUGAUGGAGGGGGAUAACUACUGGAAACGGUAGCUAAUACCGCAUAACGUCGCAAGACCAAAGUGGGGGACCUUCGGGCCUCAUGCCAUCAGAUGUGCCCAGAUGGGAUUAGCUAGUAGGUGGGGUAACGGCUCACCAAGGCGACGAUCUCUAGCUGGUCUGAGAGGAUGACCAGCCACACUGGAACUGAGACACGGUCCAGACUCCUACGGGAGGCAGCAGUGGGGAAUAUUGCACAAUGGGGGAAACCCUGAUGCAGCCAUGCCGCGUGUGUGAAGAAGGCCUUCGGGUUGUAAAGCACUUUCAGUCAGGAGGAAAGGUGGCUAGCUAAUACCUAGUUGCUGUGACGUUACUGACAGAAGAAGCACCGGCUAACUCCGUGCCAGCAGCCGCGGUAAUACGGAGGGUGCAAGCGUUAAUCGGAAUUACUGGGCGUAAAGCGCACGCAGGCGGCUUGUUAAGUCAGAUGUGAAAGCCCCGGGCUCAACCUGGGAACUGCAUUUGAAACUGACAAGCUAGAGUCUUGUAGAGGGGGGUAGAAUUCCAGGUGUAGCGGUGAAAAUGCGUA